rnacentral:lncRNA from 1 species
AAGGAAGAUGGCGAAGACAGUGGGGAAGAGAGCAGACGUCUGACUCUGGGGUGCUUAUCUGUGUGGAAGAGACCGGUUCUUCCUGACUGGCUUCAUGUCCCUCAAGGUGUUCUCCUGGCUGUUCAAGUAUUUACCCGUCUGUGUGUGACUCAUAUCCAGGAACCCAGGCAGCUUUCCUCAAUAGAUUGCUGGCUUCAGAAAACGAGCCUCCCCUGCCGCUCCACAAGGCUCAAGUGCUUCAAUGAAAUAAAAGAGAACUGAAAUAAAAGAGAAAUAAAAGAGUCUG